rnacentral:rRNA from 1 species
AACGAACGCUGGCGGCAGGCCUAACACAUGCAAGUCGAGCGAAGCCUUCGGGCUUAGCGGCGGACGGGCGAGUAACGCGUGGGAACGUGCCCUUUGGUACGGAAUAGCCCCGGGAAACUGGGAGUAAUGCCGUAUGUGGUCGAGAGACGAAAGAUUUAUCGCCAAAGGAUCGGCCCGCGUUGGAUUAGGUAGUUGGUGGGGUAAUGGCCUACCAAGCCGACGAUCCAUAGCUGGUUUGAGAGGAUGAUCAGCCACACUGGGACUGAGACACGGCCCAGACUCCUACGGGAGGCAGCAGUGGGGAAUCUUAGACAAUGAGGGAAACCCUGAUCUAGCCAUGCCGCGUGAUCGAUGAAGGCCUUAGGGUUGUAAAGAUCUUUCAGUGGGGAAGAUAAUGACUGUACCCACAGAAGAAGCCCCGGCUAACUCCGUGCCAGCCGCCGCAGUAAAAC